GGAUUGCGUCCUAUCAGCUUGUUGGUGGGGUAAAGGCCUACCAAGGCUAAGACGGGUAGCUGGCGUGAGAGCGUGACCAGCCACAAUGGGACUGAGAACGGCCCAUACUCCUACGGGAGGCACCAAUUAGGAAUCUUGCGGGUGGGGGCACCGCCUGGACGAAAACGGUCCUUGGAUUGUAAACUCCUUUUAUAUGGGAAAAUACUUGACUGUACCAUAUGAUUAAAUCCCUGCUAAUACGUGCCAAAACACCAAGCUCAAGCGAACAAACUAACCAAAUCUAGAUAUACAGAAAGGGCCUUUCAUUAGUAACCUGUACACGAGACGAAUCAAAAAAAGGGACGAUUCGGGGAAGCAAAAUUGGGGGGAAACUUUUAAGAAAAAAGAAGGGGGGGGCAAAUAUUAAGAAAAGGGAGGGACGGAAAUCAAAAAAAAGUACAGGUCCCCCGCAGGCCGAUUACCGUUAAAAUAACAGGACAAGUAGGGACACGACAGAGCCGUGCGCGUACAUAUGGGCGCCGACGGACCUACAGAAUAAGUAUGCCAACUACCCGGGGCAGAACAAAGGGCCCGAAAUGGCACGACCGAAAAGAAACAU
rnacentral:rRNA from 1 species